UACGAAGGUGGCAAGCGUUGUUCAGAAUCACUGGGCUUAAAGCGUGCGUAGGCUGACAUUCAGGUGUCCUUUGAAAUCCUCCUGCUCAACAGGGGAAUUGGGGGCAAACCGGAUGUCUUGAGGCCGGUAGGGUGGCCUGGAACUCUUGGUGGAGCGGUGGAAUGCGUAGAUAUCAAGAGGAACGCCAGAGGAGAAAUCGGGGCACUGGGCCGGACCUGACGCUGAGGUACGAAAGCAUGGGUAGCGAACGGG
rnacentral:rRNA from 1 species